rnacentral:rRNA from 1 species
UACAGAGGGUGCAAGCGUUAUUCGGAAUCAUUGGGCGUAAAGGGCGCGUAGGCGGCUUGGCAAGUCAAAGGUGAAAUCCCUCGGCCUAACCGAGGAACUGCCUUUGAUACUGCUUGGCUUGAGGCCGGGAGAGGGUAGCGGAAUUCCCAGUGUAGCGGUGAAAUGCGUAGAUAUUGGGAGGAACACCAGUGGCGAAGGCGGCUACCUGGACCGGUUCUGACGCUGAGGCGCGAAAGCGUGGGGAGCAAACAGG